UACGGAGGGUGCAAACGUUAUCCGGAAUCACUGGGCGUAAAGAGCAUGUAGGUGGCUUUGUAAGUUAGAGGUGAAAGCCCGGGGCUCAACUCCGGAAUUGCCUUUAAGACUGCAUCGCUAGAAUUGUGGAGAGGUAAGUGGAAUUCCGAGUGUAGAGGUGAAAUUCGUAGAUAUUCGGAAGAACACCAGUGGCGAAGGCGACUCACUGGACACGUAUUGACGCUGAGGUGCGAAAGCGUGGGGAGCAAACAGG
rnacentral:rRNA from 1 species